GGGGCGGGCGCUCAAAAGAGGCCAGUAAGGCAGGGUGAACAGGUGUGCAAGCCGGAGAGUCUUCAACUGGGGCUUCCUAGGAUCAUCUCCAAUAAACUACCUGCACUUGAGCCCUUGUCUCAGGCUGUUUCUGGGGGAACACCAGCACAGGCAGGAAUUCAGUGUUGUCCUAUUCCCUUUGGACACAGGCGGAGCACUCACUAAGGGAUGCUGAAGCAGGGAUAACUCUCACUGAAGAGCCAAACAGGUCUGGAUUUCAAUCUGGCUUUUUCUGCUUAAAGGAAACAUUUUCUGAGCCUCAGUUUUCUCAUCCUUAAAAUGGGGUGAGCGGUGCCACCCUUUCAAAGUCUGCUAAAUGGAAUAAAAGCUGUGAUAUGUCAAUGAGGCACUGAGCAGAGUGCUGGGCACCUAGUGUGUAGUCAGAGGAGGAUGCCUAUUGCACUCACCAUCAUAUCCCCAGCCCUUUACCUUGCUGAGUUCUCAGUCAUGAAUAAGUGAAUGAAUUUGCUGAGGUGCAGAUGAGAUUAAUACAUCUGAACAGGACUGGAUAGUUUAUAGAAGACUCAAGAUCUGUAUCGCACAACCAGAGAAGUAAGAGUGAGUGGAGCACUGGGCUCGUGAAGAAUCCGGCCUGUGUCAUGGGUGGAGUUACAAGUCUUUCUGAGAUUCUCCAAAGCUGCAGAGACUCUGCCCGCUCUGUUCCUGCUGUGCCUGUUUCAACUUCAGGGCUGCCAUGAACAGCCACAAAGGUUAUACAUUGUGCAACUCCAGGGGACAGAGGCCAUUCACCAGGACAGCAGUGAAGAGGCUUCUUCUGCCCUGGCUUUGGCUGCGAAGGGUUGUCAGGGCCCACACUGGGAGCUCAUGCCUCAACUUGGUCCUCCCUUAGAAGACCUCUGCAGCUCCAUGGCCUCUUACCCAGCUUUUGUGGACCUAGUACCUCUUUGGAGGUGAUGCAGAACAGUGAUUAAGCAGAAAGCUCUGGAGUCUUGCUGUCUAGGUUCAAAUGCUUCACUUUAGGACUCCCUGAGUGGCCUUGGGCAAGUUCCUUCGCGUCACUGCUGCAGAUUCUUGGUGCGUACCCACUACACAUCCCAGUCUCCUGGCAGUUAGGUUGGAACCAUGUGACUGACUAGUUUUGGCCAGAGAGAUGGGAGCAGGAGCGAUGUGUGUGCUGCUCUAGGAAAAGUGGUUGAGAGCCUAUGUGGACAUCUUCUAUCCCUGUCUUGCCCUGUCACUGUGGCCUGUGUGGGACCACAGGGUUAUGGGUUUGUGUUGCAAUACACCACAGGGUUAUCAUGUAAGAGUAUAGCUCUGAGAUGGAAGUGCUCUGAGUCCCCUAAUCACCCUCAGAGGAGAGCCACACCCCCAGCCUUGCACUGUGUUUGAGCGAGAAGUAAACUUUUAUUGCCCCAGAGACUUCAGAGUUUGUUUGUACUGACCAUAAUCCAGUUUAACUUCACUGAUACAGCCUUCCUGUGCCUCAGUGUUUUCAUCAGUGAAAUGGGGACAAUGAGAGUGCCAUUCUCAUAGAAUCAUUGUGAGGAUUAAGGAAGACUGUGGGUGCAACCCUCUUAAGAUGUAAAAUUUUAGUUUUUAUUACCUUUUAGGAAGGUACAGAAAAGCACAAAAUGACUCUAGACUCUCAGAGCAGGAGGGACCCUGGCAGGACCUUGAAUUC
ensembl:lncRNA